UGGGAAUAGAGAAAAAGGGGUUAGGAAACCACAGGAUCUAUCGCCUUCAUUCCAAAAAAAUCUGUGCGCACCCAUGCAGACUGAAGUGGGUCCCUCUUGAGGCCAGAACCAUCUGAGGGGCUGCUUUCCCCUGUGUGGAGUGUCUGAGACAGUUCAUGUCCCACGGAACGGCACAGAGGGCCUCUUUGGGGAGAGCCACAUAAACAGCCUGGUGUAGCACGGGCUGGAGCACGUGGGACCCGGGUGGACAUCACCAUCACCGGGGAGAGGGGGAGCGAAUGUCAGCGACCGACAGGAGACGCUGUCCAGGUGCUGAGGACGCAGGUGGCCUGGCCCAGCUGCAGUCCUCCGCAGGUGUUGAGGUGCAGUUCGGCUUGCUCAGCGCUGGGAGAAAGGGCUGUCAGCGAGAUUUACAGUCCAGUCUUCAGAGGGCUCACAGCGACCCUCAGAGGUAACCACGGGCCCCAAGGAGUAGAAAUCAAAAUGUGAAAAAUGAAAGGUCCGAAAGGCCAGAGAGGAGCAGUGUUUGUUUAUUGGGAGGCAAUCAGGAAAUGUCUCAGAGAGGUGGGGACAGGAUCUUGAAGUAGGGGUACAGUUCCCAUGGGCGGAAAUGGGGGCCGAGACCUGCAGACUGGGAGCAGCUGGCGAGCAGUAGUGGAGAAGAGAGAAGAGAGACCCCGGGCCCUGUGCAGAAGGAGCCGUUGGGUGGCUGGGGCCGCAGGCAGCACUUCCUGGCUUCUCAUUCCUGAGCCGGCGUCCCCAGGGCCUUCGUGUCAGCACUGUGCAUGUCCUCGUGGAGAGGGGCUUCGGGGGGCAGCUCUGCCUCCAAAGCACCAGCCUCGAAUGCUCCCUUUUCUUUCUGUAAAGAAGAUACCCAGACAACCCUGUCCUGUCGUUUUCCCUGGAAACGCAAGCAGCCACCAGUAGCUGCCCUAGAUUUGCAUCAAAGGGACACCUGUCCCUCGGGAGAGCCCCAGAGAUGGCGGCGCUGCUUUGCAGACAAAAAGCUGCUAAAUAAAUCUGCCUAUGGAGCUAUAGAGAGCCCAGCCUGAGCAAAGAGGCUCUCGUGCCCUUCGUCUCAAGGUAGA